rnacentral:rRNA from 1 species
GCAUAUCAAUAAGCGGAGGAAAAGAAAAUAACAAUGAUUCCCUUAGUAACGGCGAGUGAAAGGGGAUAAGCUCAAAUUUUAAAUCUGCUAGGUCUUACCUAUCAGAGUUGUAAUUUGAAGAAGCGUUUUCCGCGUCUCGGUUGACCCAAAUCCUUUGGGAUAUGGUAUCAUGGAGGGUGAGAAUCCCGUUCGGUUGACCUUGUGACGCUUUACGAUACGUUUUCUAAGAGUCGAGUUGUUUGGGAUUGCAGCUCAAAAUGGGAGGUAAAUUUCUCCUAAGGCUAAAUAUUGGCGAGAGACCGAUAGCGAACAAGUACCGUGAGGGAAAGAUGAAAAGAACUUUGAAAAGAGAGUAAAAUAGUACGUGAAAUUGUUGAAAGGGAAACGAUUGAAGUCAGUCGUACCGACGGAAAAUCAGCUCUUUAGUGCGGACUUGUGGGCUUACGUGAGUUUUAACACCUCGCUGUUUGCAACGUUCGUGCUUUUUGGGUGUACUUUUUCGUAUGGUAGGCCAAUGUCAGUUUCGAUCGCUAUAAAAUGACCGGCGGAAUGUAGCUUCGAUCUUGUAUUGAAGUGUUAUAGCCUCUGGUAGAUGUGGUGAUCGGGACUGAGGAUUGCAACGAAUACCUUUUGGGCUAUCCGUCUGAUCUCUGAAGGUUACUUAGGUGCCGAAAGCGUGCUUACGGUUAUUUAAGUUGACAGUCAAAAGGUUAGAACGGAUUAUAUUCGUUAAGGAUGUUGACGUA